rnacentral:rRNA from 1 species
UACGUAGGGUGCAAGCGUUGUCCGGAAUUAUUGGGCGUAAAGCGCGUGUAGGCGGCUGAGUAAGUCUGCUCUGAAAGCCCGGGGCUCAACCCCGGGAGGCGGGUGGAUACUGCUCAGCUCGAGUCCGGAAGAGGAGUGUGGAAUUCCUGGUGUAGCGGUGAAAUGCGCAGAUAUCAGGAGGAACACCAAUGGCGAAGGCAGCACUCUGGGACGGUACUGACGCUGAGACGCGAAAGCGUGGGGAGCGAACAGG